ensembl:processed_transcript
CUCAAACCUUUAAUUGUACUUCUUUUGUGUGCGUGUCCAUGGGUAGAUAUGGGCCAAUGGAUGGCAUAGAACAUCAAGGUCAGAGAACAGCUUGCAGGAAUUGGUUUUCUCCUUUGAUAGCAGGCAUCUCUAGUCCUACAGCCUGUGUUCUUUUCUGGAGUGCCAGUCAUGACUGAGUUGUGUUGAAGGGAAAUGUCCUGUUCUUGGUAUGGAAGCUGUGGGGUAAAUGGUACGUGGACAGUUGCCAGCUUAGUGUUAAUGCAUUUGGCUCACUGACUCUUCCUUCGGUCUAGGAAACCUAAGUUGCUGGAGCUAGAAGAGACUUGAUAGCACUUCAGAGACCAUCAGGCUGUUUCGUGGAACUUCCACCAAAGAGAUGCAGAAAUGGAGACUCCAGAGCUGGAGAGAGAUGACUCAACGGUUAAGAGCACUGACUGCUCUUCCAGAGGUCCUGAGUUCAAUUUCCAGCAACCACACGGUGGCUCACAAUUAUCUGUAAUGGGGAUCUGAUGCCCUCUGGUGUGUCUGAAGACAGUGAUGGUGUACUGACAUACAUGAAGUAAAUAAGUAAAUUAAUAAAUAGAAAUGAGACUCC